rnacentral:rRNA from 1 species
UACGUAGGGACCGAGCGUUGUCCGGAAUCAUUGGGCGUAAAGAGCGUGUAGGCGGCCAGAUAGGUCUGCUGUGAAAACUCGAGGCUCAACCUCGAGAUGUCGGCGGAAACCAUUUGGCUAGAGUCCGGAAGAGGAAAGUGGAAUUCCUGGUGUAGCGGUGAAAUGCGCAGAUAUCAGGAAGAACACCCGUGGCGAAGGCGGGUCUCUGGGCCGUAACUGACGCUGAGGAGCGAAAGCAUGGGGAGCGAACAGG